CUUCAUUUGAUUUCAGGGACUUAUUGAAGAUGCCAGAUAAAUGUCAUAUCCAUAGCCCAAGUAUUUGCUGUAAAGCUGAGAGUUUUAACUUGUCUCCUUGUAUUUUGGCAGUAUAGAAGGUCUGUUUCAACUGGCUUCACCACAAACACAUGAAUAAUCUACUGUACUGAUAGCUGUUAUGGCUGCUCCAUCCCCAGAAAAUAACUCUUCAGUUCUAUUACAGGCAAGAAGAUAAAAUCCCUCAUUUGACAAACCAGUCCUGCUUCAUGUUGCUUCAGCUGACUGAGCAUAUCUGAUACAAUGUUUAUAAUGUGCAACCAUUUGCUCUGGGUUCAAAUCAAAAUGUUGCCCUGUAUUAUCUUGUGAACUGCUUCA